rnacentral:rRNA from 1 species
GAUGAACGCUGGCGGCGUGCCUAAUACAUGCAAGUCGAGCGAACGGACGAGAAGCUUGCUUCUCUGAUGUUAGCGGCGGACGGGUAAGUAACACGUGGAUAACCUACCUAUAAGACUGGGAUAACUUCGGGAAACCGGAGCUAAUACCGGAUGAUAUUUUGAACCGCAUGGUUCAAAAGUGAAAGACGGUCUUGCUGUCACUUAUAGAUGGAUCCGCGCUGCAUUAGCUAGUUGGUAAGGUAACGGCUUACCAAGGCAACGAUGCAUAGACGGCCUGAGAGGGUGAUCGGCCACACUGGAACUGAGACACGGUCCAGACUCCUACGGGAGGCAGCAGUAGGGAAUCUUCCGCAAUGGGCGAAAGCCUGACGGAGCAACGCCGCGUGAGUGAUGAAGGUCUUCGGAUCGUAAAACUCUGUUAUUAGGGAAGAACAUAUGUGUAAGUAACUGUGCACAUCUUGACGGUACCUAAUCAGAAAGCCACGGCUAACUACGU